rnacentral:rRNA from 1 species
AGCUCCAAUAGCGUAUAUUAAAGUUGUUGCGGUUAAAAAGCUCGUAGUUGGAUUUCUGCCGAGGACGACCGGUCCGCCCUCCGGGUGAGCAUCUGGCUCGGCCUUGACAUCUUCUUGGUGAACGUAGCUGCACUUGACUGUGUGGUGCGGUACCCAGGACUUUUACUUUGAGGAAAUUAGAGUGUUUCAAGCAGGCAUACGCCUUGAAUACAUUAGCAUGGAAUAAUAAUAUAGGACCUUGGUCCCAUUUUGUUGGUUUCUGGAACUGAGGUAAUGAUUAAUAGGGAUAAUUGGGGGGCAUUCGUAUUAACGUGUCAGAGGUGGAAUUCUUGGAUUACGUUACGACGAACUACUGCGAAAGCAUUUGCCAAGGAUGUUUCA